AACGAACGCUGGCGGCAUGCCUAACACAUGCAAGUCGAACGGGAUCCUAGCUUGCUAGGUGAGAGUGGCGGACGGGUGAGUAACACGUGGGAAUCUGCCUUCUGGUUCGGGAUAACCGCGGGAAACUGCGGCUAAUACCGAAUGCCCUCGCGAGAGGAAAGAUUUAUCGCCAGAAGAGGAGCCCGCGUCCGAUUAGGUAGUUGGUGGGGUAAAGGCCUACCAAGCCGACGAUCGGUAGCUGGUCUGAGAGGAUGAUCAGCCACACUGGGACUGAGAUACGGCCCAGACUCCUACGGGAGGCAGCAGUGGGGAAUAUUGGACAAUGGGGGCAACCCUGAUCCAGCAAUGCCGCGUGAGUGAUGAAGGCCUUAGGGUUGUAAAGCUCUUUUGCCAGGGAAGAUGAUGACUGUACCUGGAGAAUAAGCCCCGGCUAACUUCGUGCCAGCAGCCGCGGUAAU
rnacentral:rRNA from 1 species